rnacentral:lncRNA from 1 species
AACGGGAACCGGCGCCCGGAAUGUCAGCGUGUGAAGUAGGCGCUGGCAACGCGGGGUUACCCGCUGUUAUUGAGGAGUAACGGCCCAGCGGACCACCCAGGCUUGAGGCAGCGGCGGGAACCACUCGGUUUGCUGCGAUACCAUGGAAGGAGGCGGGGGAAGCGGCGACAAAACCACAGGGGUAUUGGCCGGCUUUUUCGGAGCCGGCGAAGCAGGUUACUCGCACGCGGAUUUGGCUGGCGUCCCGCGAUACAGAUGAGUUCAUUUUACCUACCGGAGCUAAUAAAACCUGGGGCAGAUUUGAGCUGGCCUUCUUUACGAUUGGAGGGUGUUGCAUGACAGGGGCUGCGUUUGGGGCAAUGAAUGGUCUUCGGCUAGGAUUGAAGGAAACCCAGAACAUGGCCUGGUCCAAACCAGGAAAUGUACAGAUUUUGAAUAUGGUGACUAGGCAAGGGGCACUUUGGGCUAAUACUCUAGGUUCUCUGGCGUUGCUCUAUAGUGCAUUUGGUGUCAUCAUUGAGAAAACACGAGGUGCAGAAGAUGACCUUAACACAGUAGCAGCUGGAACCAUGACAGGCAUGUUGUAUAAAUGUACAGUGUCAGAGAUGGCUUUGGAUUCCCCGUUCUGUGUGCUGCUGUCUGGCUCCUGAACCCAGCUGUAGAGGUGUGUGUCAAUCCCAACUGGUGAAGUACUGAGAAGAAGCUACACAAAAGGCAGCAAAGUAUUAUUGCUCCUUCACAUGUUCCCACUCUCUGUGCGGCCACCAUGUAAGUCGGACCUGCCCUUCUGCCAUGAUUCGUCAGCCUCGAGUUUGACCAGCAGCAGGGGUCGGUGUGUCCCUCUGAAUCUGAGACCUAUGAGGCAGGAGCUAGGGACAGGAUGGCAGGAGCGCCCAUGGCUGCUGCUGUACAGCCUGCUGAGGUGACUGUUGAAGUUGGUGAGGACCUCCACAUGCACCACGUUCGUGACCGGGAGAUGCCUGAAGCUUUGGAGUUUAACCUUUCUGCCAAUCCAGAGUCAAGCACAAUAUUCCAGAGGAACUCUCAAACAGAAGCUUUGGAGUUUAACCCUUCUGCCAAUCCAGAGGCAAGCACAAUAUUCCAGAGGAACUCUCAAACAGAUGUUGUAGAAAUAAGAAGAAGCAACUGUACAAACCAUGUAUCUGCUGUGCGUUUCAGUCAACAAUACAGCUUGUGUUCGACAAUAUUCCUUGAUGACAGCACAGCCAUCCAGCAUUAUCUUACAAUGACAAUAAUAUCUGUGACCUUGGAGAUACCUCAUCAUAUCACACAAAGAGAUGCAGAUAGAACUUUGAGCAUACCUGAUGAACAGUUACACUCAUUUGCGGUUUCCACCGUGCACAUUAUGAAGAAAAGAAAUGGAGGUGGGAGUUUAAAUAACUAUUCCUCCUCCAUUCCAUCGACUCCCAGCACCAGCCAGGAGGACCCUCAGUUCAGUGUUCCUCCCACUGCCAACACACCCACGCCCGUUUGCAAGCGGUCCAUGCGCUGGUCCAACCUGUUUACAUCUGAGAAAGGGAGUGACCCAGACAAAGAGAGGAAAGCCCCGGAGAAUCAUGCUGACACCAUCGGGAGCGGUAGAGCCAUCCCCAUUAAACAGGGCAUGCUCUUAAAGCGAAGUGGGAAAUGGCUGAAGACAUGGAAAAAGAAAUACGUCACCCUGUGUUCCAAUGGCAUGCUCACCUAUUAUUCAAGCUUAGGUGAUUAUAUGAAGAAUAUUCAUAAAAAAGAGAUUGACCUUCAGACAUCUACCAUCAAAGUCCCAGGAAAGUGGCCAUCCCUAGCCACAUCGGCCUGCACACCCAUCUCCAGCUCUAAAAGCAAUGGCCUAUCCAAGGACAUGGACACCGGGCUGGGUGACUCCAUAUGCUUCAGCCCCAGUAUCUCCAGCACCACCAGCCCCAAGCUCAACCCGCCCCCCUCUCCUCAUGCUAAUAAAAAGAAACACCUAAAGAAGAAAAGCACCAACAACUUUAUGAUUGUGUCUGCCACUGGCCAAACGUGGCACUUUGAAGCCACGACGUAUGAGGAGCGGGAUGCCUGGGUCCAAGCCAUCCAGAGCCAGAUCCUGGCCAGCCUGCAGUCAUGCGAGAGCAGUAAAAGCAAGUCCCAGCUGACCAGCCAGAGCGAGGCCAUGGCCCUGCAGUCGAUCCAAAACAUGCGUGGGAACGCCCACUGUGUGGACUGUGAGACCCAGAAUCCUAAGUGGGCCAGUUUGAACUUGGGAGUCCUCAUGUGUAUUGAAUGCUCAGGUAUCCACCGCAGUCUUGGCCCCCACCUUUCCCGUGUGCGAUCUCUGGAGCUGGAUGACUGGCCAGUUGAGCUCAGGAAGGUUAUGUCAUCUAUUGUCAAUGACCUAGCCAACAGCAUCUGGGAAGGGAGCAGCCAGGGGCAGACAAAACCCUCAGAAAAGUCCACGAGGGAAGAGAAGGAACGGUGGAUCCGUUCCAAAUAUGAGGAGAAGCUCUUUCUGGCCCCACUACCCUGCACUGAGCUGUCCCUGGGCCAGCAGCUGCUGCGGGCCACCGCUGAUGAGGACCUGCAGACAGCCAUCCUGCUGCUGGCACAUGGCUCCUGUGAGGAGGUGAACGAGACCUGUGGGGAGGGAGACGGCUGCACGGCGCUCCAUCUGGCCUGCCGCAAGGGGAAUGUGGUCCUGGCGCAGCUCCUGAUCUGGUACGGGGUGGACGUCAUGGCCCGAGAUGCCCACGGGAACACAGCGCUGACCUACGCCCGGCAGGCCUCCAGCCAGGAGUGCAUCAACGUGCUUCUGCAGUACGGCUGCCCCGACGAGUGUGUGUAGUAUCUGUUUUAUUUGACUGCAGUCUCCUUGGUGCAAAAACAAAAUGGGAAAAAUAAGGAUAACUCAGAAUUUCAAAAGGAAAUCACAAAUUCAGCUAAUAUUAGCAUUUUCAGUACUUUUCGUAAACUAAGUAAAUACACAAAAUGUUGAUUUUUCUGACCAUAAGACGUAUUUUAUGUCCUUCUGCCAAGGUGGAUUUGUUAGUCUCAGGCCCUCCUGGCCACAUUGCCCAAGUCACACAGGCUUCUGUAUUAUGUAUUUAGAUAAAAUGUGUGAAAACAUAUUUGAAAUAAAGUUCAUAAAUAUGCAUUGAUUUUUGUACACAUGGCA